rnacentral:rRNA from 1 species
AUGAAAUAUGCUGCACCCUUUUUAGUGGUCCCUGCAACCACGUUGCAGCACGCCGGCCGCCGGAGUCACCACCACCGCAGCCACGGCCCCCUCGUCGCACCACCAGGGAGCCACGCCAUCGCGCACCGGACCGCAGGCCCGCCCCGGCCCAGAUGGGGCCCGAAAGGGCCUAGAUCUAGGUCGAGCGGGCGCCGCCGGCCAGACGACCACCGCGCCGCCCCGCAGCCAACGGCCACGCCGCCGCGUCAAGGGCAUCCGAGGCCCGCAGAACGCCGCUGCCGAGCCUCACCGCCAUGGACCACAAAAACACAUAAAUACACUGAUAAAGGAUGGCCACGUAAGCUCGGGACCUUGUGUGCACUCCUUGGCACCGAGAAUUGGCAUGGGACGCUGAGGGAAGCGGAGGGCGCCGGGGACGUCACGGAGGGGAGGGGAGACGUUGUGGUGGGCCUACAUAUUAGGGAUAAAGACCAAUGGCUUUGGAUAAUGCUUCGAAAAUUUCGAUUGAGAAAAGAGAUGAAGAUGGAUAAUAUCCACGUUAAUGAAGAAUCCAUCAACAAGGGUCUGAAGGCGAUGUUGUUGACCAUUCGUUUGCUGCCGUACCUACCACCGAUCAAGCUACUCCUCCAAAUUCGACGAAGAAAGAGUAGCCUGCAGAUCAGAACACUUCCCAUGGCAGCAAAUCCGACCAUCUUCCUAUUGCCUGCCUGGGGCGUCGGCCACUUCAUGCCCAUGACCGAGGCCGCCAAGCGGAUGGUCCAAUGUAGCAGUAGCGCCCUCUCGCUCACUGUGCUCCUUUCCAACGCAGGGACGUUUGACAAGGAACGCAAUAGCGGACAACAGCUACACCAGCCGCCCCGCCUUCUCCGUAUUGGCUGGCACCUCCUCCCGUCGCCCCUCCUCCCCCCUCGCGCCGUCGUGCCAUUCUGCUACCCCUCAUGCCGUCGGGCCCCGCUCGCGGUCGCCGCGCCAAUGACCGCGCCACGCGCCAGCCUUGGUCGUCCCACCACGGCUGCAUGCGCUCGCGCCCUGGCCGCCCACUGCGGCCCCCGCUUCGCCCCUUCCCCCUCACGCCUCUGCUCACCCCCGCGCCGCUCAGUGCCGCCCGCUUCUGGCCCCGUCCGGCUUCUGCCGCGCCGACACGCACUCCCGCCAUUCGCAGCUCAGCCGGCCUCGCCGGUCCGCCCCUGCUUCCCCCUCCCCUGCCCUGCUUCUCAGCGUGGGUGCGCACCAGGACGGCCUGCAGCCCAGGCUGCUCGUCUCACCAUGCGCCGCCGCCGACGAAAUCUGCAGUUCCCCGGCUCUUCCCAGCGCCGCGCCGCCUGCGUGCCGUUCCCCGGCUCCGUCGGCUCGGCGCAGAACGGGAGGCGGCAGCGGAGAUCUCCCCAUCGUCUUGGACCACGGCGUGGGAUGCAGCUUGAGCCACUAAGCGCCGUCGCGGGCCUCGAGGACGGAGGAGGAGGCGGGAAGGAGGACUGGGUGGGGAUGGCGGCGGCCUGCGCAUGUGAGCGGGACGUCGGAGAAGGCAGGGAAGGAGGACUGGGUGGGGACGCCAGCUCGUGCGCGCUCACUGGUAGGUGGGACCAAGGGCGGACACGAGCAGACGACAGCGGUCGAGCAGAGCGUCCGCUUUUGUCCGCUUCAUACCCAUUUCUUCCCAGAUUUGGGCCAAGUUUGGGUCGGGGACGGACAACACGUGGACACGGGCAUCCGUUUUGGUCGCCCCGUUUGGCCAUGUUUUGUGUCCAAAUAACCCAAACGGACAAAAUGGGUCGCCCCAUUGGAGCUGCGGUGGCCGGAGACGAGCAACUCGACGUCGCCGGCGGCGGGGCAUUUCGGGCGAGCAACGACAACGAUGAUGCGGCGCGCUAUUGGCAAACAGAAGAGCGGGGCGAGGCCUACGUGCGCUCGCGAGCACAACGGCCCGAGCCCGGGACCAAAGGGUCACCGGACGGCUGCCGGCGACGAGCACGGGCGGCGACGCGUACGGGAGCUCGAGCAGAUCGGAGCUACGACGAGCUAGCGAACAAACAGAGAGGCUGGGAAGGGUCUACAGGGCGCGACGAGUGCAACCGGCACUGGCCCGUGACCAUUUGGUCACCGGAGACUCCUAGGGCGCGCGAGAGAGAGGAGGCAGUGGGGGCUCACCGAGCGGCACACACGGUGGCCCUUGGGGUUUUUGUAGCAGUAAGGGCGUCGCCGGAGUUGGUGAAGAGCGGCGACGAAGCUCGUUGGAGCAGAGGAGGAAGACAGCGGCGUCGUGGGCGUUGCGGUGGCUCCGGUUUCCAACGGGUUGCACCAGUCGAAGAAGCGGACGACGGCGACCCUUGGAGACACAGUGGGGCGGCGAGGUGGGCGCGGUGGCCGUGGCUACGCUGGAACCAUGGCGGCGGCGGCGCUCGGAUGCGAAGGGGAAGGAGAGGCAGUGAGGUGGAUCUGAGGGGAGAGGGAGGCGCAAGGACCAAGAGGGAGAGCAGGGGUGAGUGGGAGAGGGGAUCGAGGAGGCGGGGGCCGGCGCCGACGACGCAGGCCGCGUCCGACGUCGCCGACCACGUGCGUCGGGAGGAGGAGUCCGGUGCCGCGGACAUCCGCUUCCACCACCUCCCGCCCGUGCAACUCCCUGCUGACUACAUGGGCGUCAAGGAGUGGAUCUCGCGCAUCGUGCAGCUCCACGUGCCCCCAACAAUGCCCGUCGUACCGCUGACCGGGGCGGACGACGACGAAGCAACGCGAUACUUGAUGCUCAAUAAGAUCAUCUUGGAGCUGAGCAUGAACUUGUCGGUUCUUGAUUCGGCGAUGCUCUGCAAGAAAUGCCAGGAUCCUAUUUGUAUCGUACUCUGGCUCAACCAGAGCCUCAUUGGUGAUGUACUGAAAGCGUGCGCAAGCAAGGUCAGAUGUGUUGGCCGCCAAAGAGGAAGAAGAUAUGUGGCAAUCCGACGAAUCGGUUAUGGCGACGGCGGCGGGAUUUCACCUCGAUUCCGGCUCGCCGUCAGGCAGAAGGGCGUGGCAAUGAGGUUGCAGAGGGGAAAAGGCGGUCGCCGAUGA